ensembl:lncRNA
CAGUGGUAUUCCUGCAGCUUUCUCUCCUCUCCACCUCCUUUCUUGUUCAGCAGCCUCUGGACCCCCAAGGGCUAAGGAAUCUGACACAUCGGGUUUGGAUCCUGACUCCACUAGGAGCCAUGUGAUCUCAGGGACAUUUCUUGACCUCUCUGAGCCCUUUUUCCUUCUUCUACAAUGUGGGGGAAAGACUCCCUCUCUCACAGGGUUACUAUGAGAAUUCAAUGACUCCAAGUAUCCAAAGCAUCUGGCACAGUGCCUGGGCACACAGUGUAACCUACAUGCACCUUAGCUUCCUUCCUUCUGGCAGGGAAGAGAAGAUACCUGAUAAAUCAAUGCCAGAGCCAGCUUCUCAGGGGCAUUUGCUUUAUAAAAGAGCCUGGUCCCUUUAACAGAGCCCAAGAAAUGACUCUCUAAUGGUGGAAUUUCAGAUACCAUAACAUGGGUGAGGGAGAGAUCUGGAGGCAUAGACUUUAGAAGCCUCAGAAUCAUUUGAAUCCAGCCAGGCAGACUGCUGCUGCUUCUGCCCAGGGGCAAGGCUGGUGAUAGAGUUUGGCUGUAACCCCACCCAAAUCUCAUCUUGAAUACCCAUGUGUUGUGGGAGGGCCCUGGUGGGAGGUAACUGAAUCACGGGGGCAGGUUUCCCAUGCUGUUUGCAUGAUAGUGAAUAAGUCUCACGAGAUCUGUUUUAAAAAUGGGAGUCUCCUUGCACAUGUUCACUUCUCUUGUCUGCCACCACGUGAGACGUGCCUUUCACCUUCCACCGUAGUUGUGAGGCCUCCUCAGCCACGUGGAACUGUAAGUCCAAUAAACCUCUUUCUUUUGUAAAUUGCCCAGUCUUGGGGAUGUCUUUAUCAGCAGUGUGAAAACAGACUAAUACAGCUGGCGUGGCAGAAGGAAUACUAACCCUCUCUUUAAGGUCAUGCCACCGUAGCCAGGCAAGGGCCCAUUUCAGGGAGCCAGGAGAAGGGAGCUAAUUUGUUUUUAUGCAACCAUCCCUGCCAGAGACGAAGUAGCUUCAUGUGGGUGUAAACCAGGGGCUUUAAAAAUACAGCAGUCCUUUAGGGCAAUCAUUAAAUCCCCUCCUCAUGCCCCUGAAAAGUCACUUGUCACAGGGCUGUCCUCAUAGCCUGAACCACCAUGAGCUCUCAUGGGGGAGUUCUUGUGUCAUUUAUACCCCACCUGCUUUUGAAGAGGAUCCCAGGUAUCUUGCAAAGGAAGGAGUAAUGCACCUAAUACUGAGCUUUCCACCUUGUUCUUCCCAACUCUCACGGUACAUGAUGGCUAAAAUCAAAAUCUGAUAAACGAGUGGUCACAAGAGAAUGAAACAAUAACGCUGCCAGUAAGAAGCUGAAUAUUCUGUUCAAAAGUUCAUCUGCAAAUAUAGCCACGCUCUUCUUCCUCAACGGUAGUCCUUUUAAUUUUAAGCUGAUCUAUCACUCAGCCCUUAUUCAUGCAUAAUUCUCAGUAAAGAUAGGGUGCAUCUAGGGUCUGCAUGCCCACAAUCAUUUUAUAGCCCCGAGAUAACAACAAAAAGCCACUCAAUGGACAAUCUUAAAACAUGCACCCAAAACCAUGGCUGACAGUAUGGGAAAAUGUCCUUCAGACCAAAGAGGCAGAGAGAGAGAGAAGGAGAGAGAAGGACAAGAGCGCAAAAGUAAAAGAUUCAAGAUGAGACAAAAGGACUAGAAUGGUUCCACAAUAGAACAUCUGCAGUUGGGGGAGAAGGGGACAAAGCAGAUAAAACUAAGGAAAGCUCUAUGGAUCUGGGAGCGCCUCUCCAAGUAUUUGGUUCAUGCUAAAAAAUAGAGCACAUUUAUUAAAAAUAUAUAUUUAUAAACCUUGAUAUGAACAGAUACACAUGUCAAGCCAAUGAAAAAAGAAAAAUAAGUUAUCUCCCCGGUAUCAAAUAGUUAGACACUUUUGAUGAAUGGGAUGCCUGUCAAAGGGCUGCCCCUGUGGUUUUUCCACUAAAUAGCUCGUCAAGUGAAGAUGAAACACUUGUCCUGGGAGACACACAUCUGAGCCAUGUCCACCCUAUUCAUCUUUUCAAAUAUGUGAUAUCCGUCAGCGAUCUGGAAUAAUGAAUUUCUGCACCCAUCCGCUCACCGAUGGUGUCAGAGGCUGGUCUUCCAAGCAUUCUUCUGGGCCCCCUGCCAAAGACGUUGAGUUCCUAGUGCUGU